rnacentral:tRNA from 1 species
GCCUGCCUGGCUCAGUCAGUAGAGCAUGUGAUUCUUGAUCUUAUGGUUGUGAGUUCAAGCCUCAUGCUAGAUG